rnacentral:rRNA from 1 species
ACGGGAGGCAGCAGUGAGGAAUAUUGGUCAAUGGGCGAGAGCCUGAACCAGCCAAGUAGCGUGAAGGAUGACGGCCCUACGGGUUGUAAACUUCUUUUGCCGGGGGAUAAAAAACGGGACGUGUCCCGUCUUGCAGGUACCCGUGCGAAUAAGGACCGGCUAAUUCCGUGCCAGCAGCCGCGGUAAUACGGAAGGUCCGAGCGUUAUCCGGAUUUAUUGGGUUUAAAGGGAGCGUAGGCUGGGUUUUAAGCAUGUUGUGAAAUGUAGGCGCUCAACGUCUGCACUGCAGCGUGAACUGGAGUCCUUGAGUGCGCGGGAAGUGGGCGGAAUUCGUGGUGUAGCGGUGAAAUGCUUAGAUAUCACGAAGAACUCCGAUUGCGAAGGCAGCUCACUGUAGCGUUACUGACGCUGAAGCUCGAAAGUGCGGGUAUCGAACAGGAUUAGAUACCCUGGUA